UACGUAGGGGGCAAGCGUUGUCCGGAAUUAUUGGGCGUAAAGAGCGUGUAGGCGGCCAGAUAAGUCCGCUGUGAAAUCUCGAGGCUCAACUUCGAGCUGUCGGUGGAAACUAUCUGGCUAGAGUCCGGAAGAGGAGAAUGGAAUUCCUGGUGUAGCGGUGAAAUGCGCAGAUAUCAGGAAGAACACCCGUGGCGAAGGCGGUUCUCUGGGACGGUACUGACGCUGAGACGGCGAAAGCGUGGGGAGCGAACAGG
rnacentral:rRNA from 1 species